rnacentral:ncRNA from 1 species
UUAAUAUGUUAUGGGAGCUUGUGAAAACAGGCUGAGAGGAUAGCUAUCAUUCGCUAUCGACCAAUAACCUGAUCUGGGUAAUGCCAGCGGAGGGAAAACAUAAGUUUAAAUUU